rnacentral:rRNA from 1 species
CGAACGGAGUAGCAUACUUAGUGGCGGACGGGUGAGUAACGCGUAAGAAUCUAGCUUCAGGUUCGGGACAACAGUUGGAAACGACUGCUAAUACCGGAUGUGCCUACGGGUGAAAGGCUUGCUGCCUGAAGAAGAGCUUGCGUCCGAUUAGCUAGUUGGUGAGGUAAAGGCUUACCAAGGCGUCGAUCGGUAGCUGGUCUGAGAGGAUGACCAGCCACACUGGGACUGAGACAAGGCCCAGACUCCUACGGGAGGCAGCAGUGGGGAAUUUUCCGCAAUGGGCGAAAGCCUGACGGAGCAAUACCGCGUGAGGGAAGAAGGCUCUUGGGUUGUAAACCUCUUUUCUCAGGGAAUAAAAAAAUGAAGGUACCUGAGGAAUAAGCAUCGGCUAACUCCGUGCCAGCAGCCGCGGUAAUACGGAGGAUGCAAGCGUUAUCCGGAAUGAUUGGGCGUAAAGCGUCCGCAGGUGGUACAACAAGUCUAGUGUCAAAGACCGGGGCUCAACCCCGGAAAGGCGGUGGAAACUGUUGAACUAGAGGGUCGUAGGGGUAGAGGGAAUUCCCAGUGUAGCGGUGAAGUGCGUAGAGAUUGGGAAGAACAUCGGUGG